AGAGUUUGAUCAUGGCUCAGAUUGAACGCUGGCGGCAGGCCUAACACAUGCAAGUCGAGCGGUAGCACAGAGAGCUUGCUCUCGGGUGACGAGCGGCGGACGGGUGAGUAAUGUCUGGGAAACUGCCUGAUGGAGGGGGAUAACUACUGGAAACGGUAGCUAAUACCGCAUAAUGUCGCAAGACCAAAGUGGGGGACCUUCGGGCCUCAUGCCAUCAGAUGUGCCCAGAUGGGAUUAGCUUGUAGGUGGGGUAACGGCUCACCUAGGCGACGAUCCCUAGCUGGUCUGAGAGGAUGACCAGCCACACUGGAACUGAGACACGGUCCAGACUCCUACGGGAGGCAGCAGUGGGGAAUAUUGCACAAUGGGCGCAAGCCUGAUGCAGCCAUGCCGCGUGUGUGAAGAAGGCCUUCGGGUUGUAAAGCACUUUCAGCGGGGAGGAAGGCGAUAAGGUUAAUAACCUUGUCGAUUGACGUUACCCGCAGAAGAAGCACCGGCUAACUCCGUGCCAGCAGCCGCGGUAAUACGGAGGGUGCAAGCGUUAAUCGGAAUUACUGGGCGUAAAGCGCACGCAGGCGGUCUGUCAAGUCGGAUGUGAAAUCCCCGGGCUCAACCUGGGAACUGCAUUCGAAACUGGCAGGCUAGAGUCUUGUAGAGGGGGGUAGAAUUCCAGGUGUAGCGGUGAAAUGCGUAGAGAUCUGGAGGAAUACCGGUGGCGAAGGCGGCCCCCUGGACAAAGACUGACGCUCAGGUGCGAAAGCGUGGGGAGCAAACAGGAUUAGAUACCCUGGUAGUCCACGCCGUAAACGAUGUCGAUUUGGAGGUUGUGCCCUUGAGGCGUGGCUUCCGGAGCUAACGCGUUAAAUCGACCGCCUGGGGAGUACGGCCGCAAGGUUAAAACUCAAAUGAAUUGACGGGGGCCCGCACAAGCGGUGGAGCAUGUGGUUUAAUUCGAUGCAACGCGAAGAACCUUACCUGGUCUUGACAUCCACAGAACUUUCCAGAGAUGGAUUGGUGCCUUCGGGAACUGUGAGACAGGUGCUGCAUGGCUGUCGUCAGCUCGUGUUGUGAAAUGUUGGGUUAAGUCCCGCAACGAGCGCAACCCUUAUCCUUUGUUGCCAGCGGUCCGGCCGGGAACUCAAAGGAGACUGCCAGUGAUAAACUGGAGGAAGGUGGGGUUGACGUCAAGUCAUCAUGGCCCUUACGACCAGGGCUACACACGUGCUACAAUGGCAUAUACAAAGAGAAGCGACCUCGCGAGAGCAAGCGGACCUCAUAAAGUAUGUCGUAGUCCGGAUUGGAGUCUGCAACUCGACUCCAUGAAGUCGGAAUCGCUAGUAAUCGUAGAUCAGAAUGCUACGGUGAAUACGUUCCCGGGCCUUGUACACACCGCCCGUCACACCAUGGGAGUGGGUUGCAAAAGAAGUAGGUAGCUUAACCUUCGGGAGGGCGCUUACCACUUUGUGAUUCAUGACUGGGGUGAAGUCGUAACAAGGUAACCGUAGGGGAACCUGCGGUUGGAUCACCU
rnacentral:rRNA from 1 species